GACAAGAAAUAACAAUACGGGGCUUAAUGUCUUGUAAUUGGAAUGAUGGGAAUUUAAACCUCUUCCAGAGUAUCAAUUGGAGGGCAAGUCUGGUGCCAGCAGCCGCGGUAAUUCCAGCUCCAAUAGCGUAUAUUAAAAUUGUUGCAGUUAAAAAGCUCGUAGUUGAAUUUCUGCUGCAUUACAUUUCUCUUGUUUGAGUUUGUUAUUGUGGCUUAUUUCGGAUUGAUUUUUAUCUUUCCGGAUGAUUACUUUGAGAAAAUUAGAGUGCUCAAAGCAGGCUUUUGCCUUGAAUAGUUUAGCAUGGAAUAAUAGAGUAGGACUUUGGUUCUAUUUUGUUGGUUUUAGGUACCAAAGUAAUGGUUAAUAGGAACAGUUGGGGGCAUUCGUAUUUAACUGUCAGAGGUGAAAUUCUUAG
rnacentral:rRNA from 1 species